GACGAACGCUGGCGGCGUGCCUAAUACAUGCAAGUAGAACGCAGUUGCGAACGGGUGAGUAACGCGUCGGUAACUGCCUCAUAGCGGGGGAUAACUAUUGGAAACGAUAGCUAAUACCGCAUACUGUGUGAUGGACCUGCGUUGUAUUGGCUCGUUGGUGAGGUAAAGGCUCACCAAGGCGACGAUACAUAGCCGACCUGAGAGGGUGUGCGGACACAAUGGGACUGAGACACGGCCAAGACUGCUACGAGAGGCAGCAGUAGGGAAUCUUGAGCAAUGGACGGAAGUCUGACCGAGCAACGCCGAGGGAGUGAAGAAGGUUUUCGGAUCGUAAAGCUCUGUUGUUAGAGAAGCGGUAACUAACAAGAAAGGGACGGCUAACUACGUGCCAGCAGCCGCGGUAAUUC
rnacentral:rRNA from 1 species